ensembl:lncRNA
CUGGAGAUCCCUGCUAGCCUGAGGAUCUUAUAGGCCUUCUGAAGUACCGCCCCUCUGACUGAGAAGAGCUAUUGGAAUCUAACCUUAAAUGAUUUGUUGAAUGCCAGAAAAGGAGUCAGUGUUAAGAGUUGGAGGAAUUUUGGCUUCUAAUCCAGAGUUCAAAUGACUAAACCAUACAUCUGAUAAAAUGAAACAAAUACUGUUGCUGGCUCAGGCUUCUUGAGAGAAAGAGAUGGGGAUACCUUGUACAUCAGUGAAGACGACAUCUGCCUUUUAGGUCACCGGAUUAUUUUCAUGCUCAACUUCUUGAUGUACAAAGCAAUUUGAACAUAACAGACAUGAGGACUUUUUGUUCUACUGCUGCCAGAAAUCCCCAGAUGUAGGAGGAAGGAGAAAGUCCCAGUAGUAUCCCAUGACUUUGUGUAUUUUCUAUUACUCAGAGAACCUGCCACGCAUAUCAUAAUUAGAACUUUGUGCUUGAGGUCAUUCUGGUUCAGUGAAUUUAUACCUGAGCUGAUGCUUUCAGUUACGGACUGUUCUGUGUGUUCAGACAGGCUCAGAUAGGCCAAAAUGGCUCAGUGGUUCAACGUACCUGUCAGCCUCCUCCACCUAUUAAACUUUUUUUCAUGUUUUGAGAAAUUUUUAAAAGAGAACAGAGAUUGUCCCAGCUUCUUGAGUGUAUGAAAGGAUUUUGUUUUAAAAAGCAAACAAACCCACAGAAAACAUAGGAAAAACUCAACCCACAAAACAG